rnacentral:rRNA from 1 species
ACUCCUACGGGAGGCAGCAGUAAGGAAUAUUGGACAAUGCUCGCAAGAGUGAUCCAGCCAUUCCGCGUGCAGGAUGACUGCCCUAUGGGUUGUAAACUGCUUUUAGAUGGGAAGAAAGUGCGACAUUUAUGUUGUUUUGACGGUACCAUCAGAAUAAGGACCGGCUAACUCCGUGCCAGCAGCCGCGGUAAUACGGAGGGUCCAAGCGUUAUCCGGAAUCACUGGGUUUAAAGGGUGCGUAGGCGGAUAACUAAGUCUAAGGUGAAAGUCU